UGUGCAUGCGUUGUGUGUGCGCAUGCGUUGUGUGUGUGUGUGUGUGCAUGCGUUGUGUGUGUGUGCGCAUGCGUUGUGUGUGUGUACAUGCGUCGUGUGUGUGUGCGCAUGCGUUGUGUGUGUGUACAUGCGUUGUGUGUGUUUCAGGUGAGACCAGGACUCCAGCAGGUCCAGGUAACCCUAGGAGACAGUCUGGAGAGAGAGUCCUGUGGGCAACACGACGCUGGGAGACGGACUGCUGUUCCCUCCGACUCUACUAAACACACAAUUCAACUGUUAUUGUCCUGCUGAAAGGUGAAUUCAUCUCCCAGUGUCUGGUGGAACACAGACUGAACCAGGUUUUCCUCUAGGAUUGUGCCUGUACUUUGCCCCAAACAAACAUUAAAACUUCAUAUUCAGGACAAAAAGUGAAUUGAUUUGCCACAUUUUUUGCACUAUUACUUUAGUGGAUUGCUGUGUUGUUUAGGUCAGUUUUCUCCUAUCACAGCCAUUAAACUAACGGUUUUAAAUAUCA